CCGCCGUCUCUCGACCACGCCACACGCCUCGCCCCACCUAUUCCCCACAGCCUCCACCUCUGCCUCCAUCUCCACGCGCCGCCGGACCGUCGCGCCCACGCUCCAGGCGCACGGCCGCCUCCACCACGCGCCACCCGGACCGCCGACCGCCACGCCCACGCUCCAGGCGCACGGCCGCGUCCUCCACGCGCCGCCCGGACCGCCGACCACCGCGCCCACCCUCCAGACACAUGGACGCGUCCUCCACGCGCCGCCCGGACCGCCGACCGCCGCGCCCACGCUCCACCGUACAGACGCGACCUCCAGGCGCCUCCCGGAUAGGCGCCGCCUGAAGUCCACCCUACAGGUGCCUUCCGCCCAUAUUCUGGUUGCAGUGACCAUUUUUUGUUUAAUUGUUCGCAUGUUCAAUACCACACCCCCGCUCUCAGAUCCAGGCUGCUCGUUGGUGCCGAGCCCCAGCGUAGCACCCACCGUCUCCAUCUCCUGCGUCAGGACGCUGUUCCCACGGCCCUCCGACAGGUUCGUGGCUAAGUCACGGCCGCCGCGAUGGCAAGUACUCCAUGCGCCCUCGGUCGGUCGCUGCCGUCGCCGAGCAGUCCUCCUAUGAUUUCGCAUCUUAGUUCGCUACUGGAGAUGAACAGGACCAAGAGCUGCAGAGAUGGCAAGUACUCCCUCUGUAAACUAAUAUAAGAGUACUUGACAAGAAAGAAUUACAGGCAGUUCCACCUGGAGGUGGGACAGGCUGUGGAAAUUGAAUGUAUUGUAAAGAUUUAGGAUGUAAACCAGGAGGUGAUCAAAGUAUUGGAGGGGCUGGGAUUUCGUGAAGGUCAGCUCUUUCAUAUUGUUUCAAUUUUUUAAUAACAUUCUGCAAUGCGUUCAAUCCAUAAGAUUAUGUACUGCACGUUAAGUCUAAUUUGGCAUCAAAAUCUUAUUAAUUCAUACCUGAAAUAAAUUGCUAUUCUUUUCAUUUACCAAGCCUCAUGGUAUGUUUACUCGUGUGAGGACAAUCUCUUGGUAUGCUAUUUCUGAUACAUAUCCUUCCAUGUGUAUAGAAAAUACCCAUCUUCCGUUUCACUGAGAGGGGAUGAUACCGAUGGUUCACUGCUAUAUUUGAUGUGAAAGUGUAAAUUGUGUGUCUGAUUAGGCUUUCUCUUUGGUUGCUAUUGGAAUAUAUAGGAGGUUGCCUGCUUUCCUUUUAUGCCAUAGUUCACACCACAUUUUUGUUUUUAGGCUUAUGUAUGAGUUGGUUUCAAGCUAUGCACAUGCUGCUCCAAUGUAUAUUUACAGAAACUCCUCAAAGUUAGAUUGGAGGAAUGCCCAUUUCUUCACCACUUCGGGGGUAAAAGUAGUAUGUGGAGCAAGUUAUUGCUUCCCUUCUCAUUUUUUGCUGUCAAGAAUCAAGUAUUAUACUUAAUGUUUUUUUAUUUUAUAGCCUCAUUUGUGAUCUUUUUCAUUUUAUUCCUUGUUAAUAUAUUCAAGGGUCUCAUUGCUACUUUGUCUCGAUAAUUUUAUAUCUACUUCAUGUCAUCACAAAUACAUGUUUUUAAUAGGAUCCGUCUUUUCUUUGUUCUAUUUUGGUCUUACCUUAAGGCCAUACCACUGCAGGAAACUUGGCUUACUUGGGAGUAUGAUCCAUGCUUUAUGAUGUUGUGAGUGACUUCUCGUGUUUAGUGCUUGCGGCGUAGAUCAGUAGAUGGAGAAGAGCCGACUUAACUGGAGUCCACACAGCACAAACGAACUAGAGUGUUUACAUUUCUUUCAAGUGCAAGAAGGCAGUUACACUACUGAAAUUAUAUGCGGAUGAAAUGCUUGGGACUACAAGAUGCUACAAGGAAACUAAAUGCAAAAGAAAACUAUGGAGGAAGUAUUACAUGCAAUACUAAAUCUGGAGGAAGAAUAAAAAUCAAGUAAAGGUUGGAGGUAGAAUCAACUUCAAGCUCGAGUACCCAAUGGUAGAGAAAUAGAAAGGAGGCACAAGAUGGAAGAUGGUGACCAGAUAAGGAAGCAAUUUUUGGUGCACCUACUCAACUACAUCAACAAUGAAGCUGCACACAACAUUCCGGAUACUUACGUGAAUUCAUUAGCCUUAUUAGGAAAUACUGGGAUAAUUGUUUUGGCUCUAUGCACAUGACGAGUCGAUGAUACAUUAAGGUUGUGUUUGGCUGCUCAGUUUUUUUUAAGUAUUUGGAGAAUACUAUGGUUUUCUCAUAAACCACAGAUUUCAAAACUUUGAGCUGUUUGGCUUCAACAAAUAGUUUUAUAAACCAUAGUAUCUCUAAUACCAUGGUUUUUUGGUAGUAUUUAAUAAAGAGAUCUUCACCACUUUUUUACAAACUGAAAAAACCGUGGUUUUUAAAAACUGAAGAAUUAAUUGUACUGAGGUUCUCGGUUACUACUGUUUUGAGAAAACUAUGUUGCCAAACUAGGCCUGUAGUGUUUUCUUGAUUUGUAAUAGUACUUUUGAGUGUAAUCAAAAUAUCUUUAUGUGCAUGUUAAUUCUGACAUAUGUUUGUCAUAUUAAUUGAGAUAUGCAUUUGCACAUGCACGCUUACUAGUUCCUUGCAAGAGAGAGCACAGAACACAAGAACGAAGAGAUUUGCGCCGCGUGAACUUCUCACGGCUUUUCUUCUGCUUCUAUUAUUCAUUCAAGGGACUUGACGACUUAUUAGGACGCAACCCAAACAGACUCGACAUCGGCCAAACUAAGACAAGACGUGCUGUAAACACACAAGCCGCCACAAUUGUUUAUUUGGAAAGGGAAACAUUCACUAUGAUUUACGUAUUCCCUUCCGAUGUAAAAUAAUUGUCGCAGUUUUGUAUUAAGUUUGAACUAAUCUAGUAGCAAACUGCGACACUUAUUAUGGAUCAGAGAGAGUACGAUAUACCAGUAACGGGUGACAAUUUAUUCAUGGUCUGCUGUACGUAU